rnacentral:rRNA from 1 species
GAUGAACGCUGGCGGCGUGCCUAAUACAUGCAAGUCGAGCGAACAGACGAGGAACUUGCUCCUCUGACGUUAGCGGCGGACGGGUGAGUAACACGUGGAUAACCUACCUAUAAGACUGGGAUAACUUCGGGAAACCGGAGCUAAUACCGGAUAAUAUAUUGAACCGCAUGGUUCAAUAGUGAAAGACGGUUUUGCUGUCACUUAUAGAUGGAUCCGCGCCGCAUUAGCUAGUUGGUAAGGUAACGGCUUACCAAGGCAACGAUGCGUAGCCGACCUGAGAGGGUGAUCGGCCACACUGGAACUGAGACACGGUCCAGACUCCUACGGGAGGCAGCAGUAGGGAAUCUUCCGCAAUGGGCGAAAGCCUGACGGAGCAACGCCGCGUGAGUGAUGAAGGUCUUCGGAUCGUAAAACUCUGUUAUUAGGGAAGAAUAAAUGUGUAAGUAACUAUGCACGUCUUGACGGUACCUAAUCAGAAAGCCACGGCUAACUACGU